GUUCUUGUUUUUUGUGUUAGACACAUAUACACCUACAUAUACUUUGCUCUUGUCUCAGAAAAACACACCCAGCAGUUAAUUUCAAGUAAAGUGAAUUCUUUGUGUGGCCUGCUAACAAAACAGACUGCCGUGCCUCAUCCCAUCGGUGAGUGUGUCUGGCGCUCUGCUGUGUGGUCUGUGCUGACUGGGCACAGGGGCCUGUGAGCUCUGUCUCCUGUAGACCUCACCCAGCUUGAGUCACCACUGCGUCACGGCAAUAGGAAGACAAACUUCUGCAAAUGAAAUGAAGAAGCUUGACUCUUCCUCCUUCCCAAGGCAUCCUUUGUAGCACCGAUUAGAAUUCUGUGGUCAUAACAUGACAACACAACAGCGUAACCCGCAGCUGCCCUCCAAGUUAUUGUUAGUCAGCAUUUCAAGAAUAAAUCUGCAAACUGAUGCAACGUCCUCACCUCCGUGCGCACGUACUAUCGGCCCCAUAAACACAGCCUGUCGAUGGGUCAGUGAAGAAUGGCAUUCAGCACACUCUGAGGGUUGGAGGAGCACCAGAGACAGAGGACUCAGCCUUAGGCUUGGAUCUGAGCAAGGUGAGAGGGCUGCGUGCUGAGGCUGCCCGAGCCUGAUUCUGAGCCACAGACUUUGUGAAACCCUGCAGUUCCCAAAAGAUGUGAGGGACAGGGCAGAGCUGGGGCCCUGGCUGGGAAUGCAAAGCAGGCUGAGGCAGAGAGGGAGUCGGCAUCUGGGCAGAGCUGAGGCAGCGGGACACCCUCCGAAACUGCUCGGACCCCUGGAGUGUCAGCAGCACCUGAGGAAGUAGCAGCGUGCGUAUGUGGCGGUGACCAUGGACUUCACAGACUGCUGGAGUCAGGUCCUCCAGAGGCGCCCAGAGACCGCAACUCCAGGUCGCCAGUUAACUCCAGAGGGACAAGGAGGCCUUCCCCCACCCACACUCCUCUUCCUCCUCCUCCUCCCCUUCCUCCUUGGCCGGUGAUUCUUUUCUCUCUCCCCCCACGCUUCUGUCCAGGGAUUUUCCUGCUUGUCUACCGAACCAAACCUCACCCACAUCACAGUCCUGACGGUGGUCCCGUGCUGGGUGGCCCUGCCUGGACCUGGGACUCAGACACUCUGAAAGGCCCUGUUGGCAGGCGAGUGAGGGCCGGCAGUUUGAACUCUGGUCUCUGUGCACCACCGCCUGCCCCUUAUUGAUUGGUUUUUAUGAGACAUUCAUUUUAUUAUGUUUAUGUAGAUCGUACUUAUAUUACAUAUCUAUUUUCUAUAUAAGAUAUACAUAUAUGUUAUACAUGAUAUAUAUUGUAUAUACAUACAUUUUUUAAACGUCUGUCUUAUGGUUGUGCUGGGGAUUGAACCUUCAACCUUGGAGCAUUAGGCAUGAAGACGUUUUGCAAGACUACUAUGCUGUCCCCCCAUAGACCUUGCCAUUUCUCUAUAUUUAAUACUAGGAUAUAGUUAAAUCGCUCAACAACACUAGAGGUUCAGAAGCACGUCCUUCCUAAUUGUAAGUAGCCUUAGUUUUUCAAAUGACUCAGAGAAAAAGAAAAGGCUGUAAGUGAGGCCCUGCUUGGUGACUGAACUCAGCUAUCCUCAGGCUGACUUCUGCCUCCCACAAACACAACU